AACGAACGCUGGCGGCAGGCCUAACACAUGCAAGUCGAGCGGGGACUUCGGUCCUAGCGGCGGACGGGUGAGUAACGCGUGGGAACGUGCCCUUUGCUUCGGAAUAGCCCCUGGAAACGGGGAGUAAUACCGGAUGAUGACGUAAGUCCAAAGAUUUAUCGCCUAAGGAUGAGCCCGCGUAGGAUUAGCUAGUUGGUGAGGUAAAGGCUCACCAAGGCGACGAUCCUUAGCUGGUCUGAGAGGAUGAUCAGCCACACUGGGACUGAGACACGGCCCAGACUCCUACGGGAGGCAGCAGUGGGGAAUAUUGGACAAUGGGCGAAAGCCUGAUCCAGCAAUGCCGCGUGAGUGAUGAAGGCCUUAGGGUUGUAAAGCUCUUUUACCCGGGAUGAUAAUGACAGUACCGGGAGAAUAAGCUCCGGCUAACUCCGUGCCAGCAGCCGCGGUAAU
rnacentral:rRNA from 1 species